UCUCUACUCAUUUCUCUCUUUUUCUCAGACGGGAGAAGCUAUGAGGUGCAGGUAGCCAAGCAGCACAAGGAGCACGACUGUGGUGCUAUAGAUCCUCACAUGUUUGAUGGAAUGUCCCACAAGUACUAAGCUGACGAGAUUGGUGGAGUGCUUAGUCCAAGAAGAGUGGUGUUAAUAUUACCAACAAUUUUACUUAAGGUCUAUUUUAAAUGGGGAUCCUUGGUCCUCUCUCCAUGUACAUAGACAAGGCAAAACCAUUUAAGGUCCUCCAAGCACUUACAGUAGACAUCACUCUUCUAUCUGGAUGUUCGUUUAGUGGAUGUGCUGACAAAUAUCAUACCAUAAAAAAAUCGAAGACCCAAGAGUAAAUAUUCACCUUAUCGAUGCAAGAUGCUUCUUGAUUUGAGGACCAACCACUUUAAGUGAUUCACUUUUCAGUCCAUGUGGAAUAACAAGAACAGAAUCAUCUACCAGGUUUUUUGAGCAUCUUCUGUCAGACAGUCAAGCAUAGGUAUAGCUUAUGUCAGUUCUGAUUCAUGUUUUCUUCUUAUUUUAGGUUCACGUGCUGUUAGUUUACGAUCCUCUGGUUUAUGGUUCUGUUCCCUUCGUUUUGCAAUAUGUGCAUUUUCUUCCUGCAGGUUUUAGUAUGAUUGCACUGUGCACACGGUCCUUUCGGCCGCUGACGAGGCCAGUUGUUGUUGUGGACUUAAGAAUGUUACUCUUCUGCCGUCUGCUGGCCAUGUUGGUUCUUCUCUUGCUAUGCCUGGAGUGUGGGGUAGGUCUCCAUGCCGUGUCGGGUGUGGACCUGGCCGCUCCGACCGCUUUGCAGCUUCUGAUUUUUCAUGUCCAGCCAUUGUGGCUUCUUUGGAUUGUCCUGCAUGGGCUGCGACUUCUUCCGCUGAUUCUCCGGCUGGUGGUUUGCCUUUGUCUGCUGCUGGUUCUCCACCUGUUAUUCUGUUGUCUUCGUCGUCUGAGCCUAUGUUGUCCGAGUUGGAGAGACGUGAGAUUUAUCGUUGUCGACCAUGAAGUGUGUUUCCUAUGGCAUCCUGCUACUGAAUAUGCUCUUUGUGUUCUCCAUCUAGAGGUUUACUGUUGAGUCAAUCAAUGACGUCCAGUCCAUAGUCAGGCCUAGCUGCAACUUCGCACCACCUCCUGCAUUGGCAACAAACAAGGGACAAUCUACAUUAUUCAUCCCACCCGUUGAUCAUCCAAUGGAAGAACAUGACGAUGAAGAUGCAUAAUUAAGAUGUACACUAGGUAUUGGUAAGGUCAAACAUGUAUAUUCUCCGGAAUUCUGUGGGGUUCUUAACUACUGUACUAAGAUAUGAAUUUCCUCACGAGUCACCAAUCAUCAGGAAAGAAUACACUGCAAAUUAACUACUUUCUGAACUUUUACACUUAGUUUUUGCUAGACUAAUCAAGAA